UGCAGUCGAACGGUAACAGGUCUUCGGACGCUGACGAGUGGCGAACGGGUGAGUAAUACAUCGGAACGUGCCCAGUCGUGGGGGAUAACUACUCGAAAGAGUAGCUAAUACCGCAUACGAUCUGAGGAUGAAAGCGGGGGACCUUCGGGCCUCGCGCGAUUGGAGCGGCCGAUGGCAGAUUAGGUAGUUGGUGGGAUAAAAGCUUACCAAGCCGACGAUCUGUAGCUGGUCUGAGAGGACGACCAGCCACACUGGGACUGAGACACGGCCCAGACUCCUACGGGAGGCAGCAGUGGGGAAUUUUGGACAAUGGGCGAAAGCCUGAUCCAGCAAUGCCGCGUGCAGGAUGAAGGCCUUCGGGUUGUAAACUGCUUUUGUACGGAACGAAAAAGCUUCUCCUAAUACGAGGGGCCCAUGACGGUACCGUAAGAAUAAGCACCGGCUAACUACGUGCCAGCAGCCGCGGUAAUACGUAGGGUGCGAGCGUUAAUCGGAAUUACUGGGCGUAAAGCGUGCGCAGGCGGUUAUGUAAGACAGAUGUGAAAUCCCCGGGCUCAACCUGGGAACUGCAUUUGUGACUGCAUGGCUAGAGUACGGUAGAGGGGGAUGGAAUUCCGCGUGUAGCAGUGAAAUGCGUAGAUAUGCGGAGGAACACCGAUGGCGAAGGCAAUCCCCUG
rnacentral:rRNA from 1 species